rnacentral:rRNA from 1 species
UACGUAGGGGGCAAGCGUUGUCCGGAAUUAUUGGGCGUAAAGAGCGCGUAGGCGGUCCGGUAAGUCGGUUGUGAAAGUCGGGGGCUCAACCCUCGGAUGCCGAUCGAUACUGUCGGGCUAGAGUCCGGAAGAGGCGAGUGGAAUUCCUGGUGUAGCGGUGAAAUGCGCAGAUAUCAGGAGGAACACCAAUGGCGAAGGCAGCUCGCUGGGACGGAACUGACGCUGAGGCGCGAAAGCGUGGGGAGCGAACAGG